CUCCUGGAACGGGUGGUAAUGCCGGAUGUUCCACAUGAGCGCAUGCGAGUGUGGGAAAGGCUUUUUGCGGCAUGGGAUGGGGUCGCGUCCUAUCAGCUUGUUGGUGGGGUAACGGCCUACCAAGGCGUUGACGGGUAGCCGGCCUGAGAGGGCGACCGGCCACAUUGGGACUGAGAUACGGCCCAGACUCCUACGGGAGGCAGCAGUGGGGAAUAUUGCACAAUGGGCGCAAGCCUGAUGCAGCGACGCCGCGUGCGGGAUGGAGGCCUUCGGGUUGUAAACCGCUUUUGUUCAAGGGCAAGGCACGGUUUCGGCCGUGUUGAGUGGAUUGUUCGAAUAAGCACCGGCUAACUACGUGCCAGCAGCCGCGGUAAUACGUAGGGUGCAAGCGUUAUCCGGAUUUAUUGGGCGUAAAGGGCUCGUAGGCGGUUCGUCGCGUCCGGUGUGAAAGUCCAUCGCUUAACGGUGGAUCCGCGCCGGGUACGGGCGGGCUUGAGUGCGGUAGGGGAGACUGGAAAUUCCCGGUGUAACGGUGGAAUGUGUAGAUAUCGGGAAGAACACC
rnacentral:rRNA from 1 species